rnacentral:rRNA from 1 species
UACGUAGGGUGCGAGCGUUAAUCGGAAUUACUGGGCGUAAAGCGUGCGCAGGCGGCGCGUUAAGACAGGUGUGAAAGCCCCGAGCUUAACUUGGGAAUUGCGCUUGUGACUGGCGUGCUGGAGUGUGGCAGAGGGAGGUGGAAUUCCACGUGUAGCAGUGAAAUGCGUAGAGAUGUGGAGGAACACCGAUGGCGAAGGCAGCCUCCUGGGCCAGCACUGACGCUGAGACACGAAAGCGUGGGGAGCAAACAGG